GCAGCGGUGGCCCAGCGGCUAAGGCGGUCGAUUCGAGCCCGGCUUAUCGUGGGUUCGAGUCCCACCCGCUGCU
rnacentral:tRNA from 1 species